rnacentral:lncRNA from 1 species
CCCCACCUACCCUACCUCACUACCCCACUCUCACCUCACUGUAUAUACCCACAACAAGAUAUACAUACACAGAUUCACACCUCAUAUACAACAACAAUAUACAAACCCACAUCAUCAUCUCCAUAUUUCUCUUCUACACAAUACACCAUUAACCUCACCAUUAACGGAUAGCUUCCUUACCAUUCCAACAACUCAUACAUCUCUCUCGC